UGUAUACAACGUUGUUGAUAUCAGAGUUGCCGGUUGACUUCCGUUUGUCCUUUGACAUCGUUUGUAUAUAAUCGAAGAUGUUGGACAGUUGCUGCUUCGUGGUUCAAGACAUUCUCUCUAUCUCAACUCCAAGUUAAAAGUCGAGAUGAUAGCCUUUCAGAAAUGAAAAUUAAAUACUGUGAAGUACCCGCUAAUUUAUGAGUUCAAAUCCUAGCGGAGUUGACUCUGCCUUUCAUCUAUCCGGAUCAAUGAUUACCGCACUGAUGUCACUGCCCUCACCGGAGAUCUUUCCGAAUUCAUGGGUACAAUCCUCAUCUUUGAGCCAAAACGAACGUGAAACUAAAUAUCGGUAUCUGCAAUAGACACGAAGCCUCAAAGGUUGAAUCGUCAGCGUGCUACUAUUAGUCAAGAAAUCAUUCAAGAGAAAGUGUUGUCUUUGUUUGAUGACCUGAAGAAAAAAAUAUCCAGAUGAGAAAGAUGUAGAGUUCAAGGUAAGUCAAUGAUGGUUCAUGAGAUUUAAGGAGCAAAGAAGUUAUCACUCCAUUAAGAAGUAAGGUGAAAGUGCAGCAGCGGAAUUUCCUAAUGCAUUUGUAGUAACGCUGUGCGCAUGCGUAGUCUCACGCAUGCGUGGAAUUCAACAACCAAGCUUUCCCGCUUCAUUCUGUCUCUUUCUUGCUAGCCAGCGAUUGAGCAAGGACAUGUUUAGCUGUCUCUCACCAUCUUUCGAACUUACGCUAGACAGCUCGCUCACAUCUACAUACCAACAACCAUGCUCACACACACAGAAGACGUCUCAACAAACAAGAGCUAACGAUGUAUAUAUAUUCCACCUUAAAUAAAUGUUGUUAUGUUGAUA